CACGACGAAUACUUAGUCAAGAUCAUUGCUAUAGUAUUUUGUAUGUUUAAAAGUUACAAAGUAACAGAUGAUGAAAAAGUGAUGAUGAACCGACUCAGCUCUAAAAUGAAUUUUUAUUUCGAUAGCAAACAUUAUCUUUUUAAGAUUUUGUUAACGGUAUCCGAAAAAAUACAUGAUAAUUUAUUUUAACUUUGACAGAUUUUUAAUCUUCAAAGUUAAAUAAAUAUAGAGCUUGUAGUCUGCUGAACU